rnacentral:lncRNA from 1 species
UUCUCUCUCUAACUUCUCUCUAGCCUCCCUAAACCCCUCCCAAGUCUACGGAACCUCCCUAGCACGAGAAGAGAGCCCCGGAGCGCCCGACGGCUCCGAGAAGAAAAGCUUUCGGCUCGGAAACGCUGCUCCAGCGAAGCCCGGUUUUUAAUAAAAACCCGCUGUAAGUGAGCUACGCCUAUAGUAUAUUUAAUAUAGAUUUUAUUUAAUUAUAGUAACAUUGUUAGGACCUUAAAAUAAUUAUUUAGGCUAUUAUUAUGAGUUAUAUUGAGUGUUAUUUAACGCUUAUAUAAUAGUAAUAAUAGCUAGACUAUUAAAUUAGUCUCGUCAAGCGUUAGACUAAACUCUAGUGGUAAUGAUACUAGGUUUCGUCAAGGGAUAAUUGUUUUAAGAGUAACGAAGUGCUGUCCGAGUGCCGACUCACCACCUUUCAAG